UUUUAAAAUCAUUAAGCACUUAAAAGUCAUUAGACUCAAAUAAACCGUAUAACGAUUGUUAAAAAUAGCUUAAGUAAUCAUUUGAGAGCUACAACAAUGAUAAGCCACUUACAUUUAUAGAUAAAGCUCCCUGAGAGUUCGUCUGUGUUACGCCACGGCCAGCAGAGGGCACUGCGGCACGGCUUCUGACUGGUCACGUGACUCUUUUGUUUUCGUUUGCUUCCUGCUUGGACAUUGAUUUAAGUCUGAUCAUGUCUCUGAUUUGCCCCAGGUGUCCAUGUUUUGGUUUGAUUAUGUUGACUAUUUAAACCCCUCGGUGACUGCGCACUUCGCGUAGUAUUAUUUGGUUUACAUUUGUCAUGUCGAGGAAGUAUGACGGUAUGUGCUAACGUGUAGUAUGCUAGCGGUCGUAGCUAGAUGUCCAGAGUUUGUAUAGUCAGUAGAGACCGCGCUCCCUGUGUUUGUUUGUCUGCUAAUUAAUAAAGACUUUGACCUACACCUGCAUCCGCCUCCAGUCCCGUUUCGUAACAGUCUGAGAACAAGGACAUAUAGGGAGAAAAUUAACAGGGAUCCAUGCAGAAGGAAGGCGAUCCUAAGAGAACGACGGAGAAAACAGAUGCAGGGAAACGGGGCUCAGGGAAACAAAGAUGAGGAAUAUACACACCAGACAAAAUGUUCCUGUAAACUUCUGAAUUCAUUCUGCACUACAAUCAUGAGUUACAUCAUCAAUAAAGAUAAGUGAGCCUGUUCCAGAAGCAGCCAUGCAAGCCUUGGCUCACCUGUUCUAUGUCUGAUUGUUUAUACACAAGUAGUUCUUUCUUUGUGAGGAUAUUCCAAAUUGUUUUAAUGGCUAUGUCCAAUGUUUGUGUAAUGAGUCUGAUAGAUUUUCCCUCUUUUCUCAGCUACAAAAUGGUUUGCUUUUCUCCCAUAGACAGUUCCCUGGUCUUCAUUAUGUUUUAUCCUUUAACAAAUGCAGACUUCACAGGUGAAACCUAGGGCUCAAACCAAGAGUGGACAUUCAGAGCUAUUAAUUCUUUAAACAAUCAAUUUCAAGUUGUUUAACACAUCUAGAUGUAAAUAUGAGAAAAUGAAAGCUGAAAUUCUGUUCUAUCAUCGUAUAUCCAUCUUUUGAUCUCAAACCCAAAUGUAUUCAAUGUAUAGCAAAAACAAUAGAAUUGGCCUUACUGUUCAAAUAAUUUCCGAGGGGAGUGUAUUUUUUUUUUAAAGAGAUUAAUCAGUUAAAAUGAUAUAUUACCACACACACACACACACACACACACACACACACUGCUCAUGGCAACCCAAUAAUUUACUAAGACACUUCAUGUUAUUUUACUUUUCAUUUGUCAUAUAUGUCAUAUAAUUCAUAAUUUGUCAUAUACAUUCAGGUACAUAUACACAGACAGGAGGUGCAAGAGAACAACAGACUGGAGCAACCAUCUGCAGAUGGUGCAGACAGCAACUACCCAACUUCUCUCUAUAGACUAUACAAAAAAAAAACUGAGUUACUUGAGGCAAGUACUUAAGAUAAAAAAGUCAAACCUACAGAUAAAUGCUAAAUAUUGGUCUUCUGUAUGACUGAUAAAAUAGCUAGAAUACAGUAAUGUCACUCCUUUUGUUUGUGGCUCUUUAAACUAAAGUUUUAGGUUUUGCCUCUUUGAUUCACAUACAAUUAAACUGUCUGUUUAAAAUGUUUUGUAGAAAAUAAAGUAAAAGCUAUAGAUAAAAGCUAAGAUCUUCUGUAAGACAUAGAAAAAAUACAGUAAUGUUAGCUUACUUCUUUCGUUUACACUUGUGUGUUUAAUU